rnacentral:rRNA from 1 species
UACAGAGGGUGCGAGCGUUAAUCGGAAUUACUGGGCGUAAAGCGUGCGCAGGCGGUUUUGGAAGUCUGACGUGAAAUCCCCGGGCUCAACCUGGGAAUUGCGUUGGAGACUGCAAGGCUGGAGUCUGGCAGAGGGGGGUAGAAUUCCACGUGUAGCAGUGAAAUGCGUAGAGAUGUGGAGGAACACCGAUGGCGAAGGCAGCCCCCUGGGUCAAGACUGACGCUCAUGCACGAAAGCGUGGGGAGCAAACAGG